UAAAACUGUUUUAAUAGCAGUGUUCACGUUCAUAAAGACAUUGGAAUCUAUUAAAUUAUUGCCUUAGAGGAGACAGGCAAUAAUUUUUAGAAUGCCAAUCAAAGUGUAGUAAACAUAUUUCACAUAUAUCUUGUUACUGGAGUUACUUGGUCCAAAGUGACAUGUUUAAAGUAUCCUUAAUGUUACGCACAUAGCAUUUAAAGGCCUUUGUGGUUUCAAGUAUACAAAUUCAUAAUUUUUGAUUAUGUAUGUAACACAAGAACUCCAUACAAACAAAUAAUAAGUCUAUCCAUCACCGAAAAGAGUUGACUUUCAGGAUUCAGGGGAUAGCUCAGGGUAGGAUGCUGGUCUGGCAUUCAUGAAGCUCUGGGUUCAAUCAUCCGAGCUGUGGGGGAAAAAAAGCCUCCCCCACUCUCUUGUCCUCUUCUCUCUCUCUCCUCUCCCAGCUUCAGGCAACCAUCAAUCUAUUUUCUAUCAAAUGAGUCUGCGUCUUAACAAGUGCACAUUUUCUACAACUUUAUUUAAACAGAUUCACGUAAUGUAUAUUUUUGCCCAGUUCCUUUUACUCACUGUGAUUAUUUUGAGAUUCAGCCAUAUCAUCAUGUGCAAAAAUGAGACAAUAUCUCACUCCUUUAUAUUUAUGUCAUUCCACCAUAUGGGUGCACUGGAGCUGUUUGUUUUAUUUCUUUGUAGAUGGGUACCUAGGGUUGUUUCUAGUCUUUGGCAUUAAAAAUAAAAACACUGUGACAAAUUAGUUUCAAGUAGUGUUAUAUUCAUUUCCUAUAUUUUUUUCAUCUUUGCUGGGUGUCUAGAAGUGGAUAACAAGAUCAUGUGGUAAGUAUGUGUUUCUCUUUUAAAGAAACUGGAACUUCAGACCAGUAAGGAGAGCCAGCCUUGCCAGCCAGAUCCCUAGCAGUGCCUCAGAUGGGUGGUGGAAAGCACUUCUGUAAUCCCCCAUUCCAGAGGUAGAAGCAGGAUGGUUGACUGCGAGUUCCAAGUCAUCCUCAGAUUCAGCUAGCUCCUGGGCUACCUGGUCUACCUGAGAUGGUUAGAAAAUUAACAAACUCCUUCAAAGUCAGUGUUCCAUUUUCAUUCCCAUAAACAGUUCUCCCCGGUUCUUGUCACGUGUUAUCUCGUAUUGUUCAUCCUAAUCUAGAAAGACACAUUGAUAUUUAUAUGUCUCAUUUAGAAUCAAUUUAUUGUAUAUCUUGCAAAUGUGUACUUGCAGUUACAUAUGUACUUGCAGUUGCAUACAUACCUUAUUGGUGUGUACAUUUGGCAGAAUACUGACAUUAUCUACUUGGUUUGUUGGAUAAACCUUACAGAAAUGCAAAAGGACAAAGAGAAGUUCUGCAGUGACAUCAAGUCAAGAAUCAACAUAUAUGAGCAUGUAAUUACAUCCCUUUAAUUCAGGCAACUUGGGAAGCAGGAGCAGGAAGAUCUAUGUGAGUUUACAGCCAUCCUAGUCUAUACAGCAGGGCCAGCCAAAGCUACACAGUAAGACCUUGCUUUAAAAAAAAAGUGGGGGGACAGGAAGAGAGAGAGAGGGAAGGAAGAGGGAGAGGGAGAGAGAGAGAAUGAAUUAUAUUCCAGGAAUUAAUAGCAGAGAUUCAUCUAUCUUAAAGACUUUAAAAAUACAAAAAUGUAAGAUUCAAAUCAUGCAUCUAUUUCAUUAUCUAGUGUGACUCCUACAAAACUUGGGUUUUUGGAAGAAGAUAACAAACUACUCAAAUUCCAUCCAAUUCUGCACCUGCAGACCUGGGUAUGGCUUCUCUGUUUGAUCAGAUUAGUAUUGCUUCUAGGAUGUGGUGCGUGGCUGCUGAGCUGAGAAAUGCCUUCUGUUGCAUCUCUAUUAGAAAAAAAUGAAAAGAAAACUCGCAUUCACUUGCACUAGACUACAAUGCAUACAUGUACUGUCUUACCACAGAGUCCACAAACUAUUUUACUAUCUGUGAAAAUACAACCUAAAAGAAAUUGGAUUUUCUGGGCAUUUGAUUGAAUAUCACCUUAGCCCAUUAGAGUAACAACAUCAGGUCGAUAAUCAGAAAAGGCAUAUGUGUCUUCUACACUCUUUUCACCUCCUCUUCCACAAAGAUGCCUAAGCUUUGUGGGUGGGGGAUGUGGUACUGAUAUCCCAUUUAGGGAUGAGCACUUUGCAGUCUCUUAUUCUCUGCACGAUGACAAAUAGUGGAUCUCUGUGUUAAUCAUUAUCUAGCAAAUAGAAGCUUCUCUAAUGAAUGAUAAGAGAAACACUGACCUAUGGGUAUAAUGAUAAAUCAUUAGAUUUAAUACUAUGUCCACUAACGGAGUGAUUGCAGUAGGUUCUCCCUAAGUAGGGCCUAUGACCUGUCUAGCCACAGGUUCUUGAUGAUAAUGGCGCUAGGCAUAGGUUUCAUCCUAUGGAGAGAGCCUUAAAUCCGGAUCAGAAAGCGGUUGGUUACCCACAUGAUAUGGGCACCAAUAUUGCAGCAGGCAUGUCUUGUUGCACUCAUUAUUGUAGCUCACACCAUUCACAGAUGGUUAAGAUUGAUGAUUGCUUUUCUCCUCCAGCACUAAGAAAACUAGCUGGUGAGGAUGAAGCUUCCAGGACAGGACCAGCCUGAUAUCUCCAUGUCCUAUGACUCAACUAUGCCAUGUCUUCAGCAAUAGGCUUUUAUUGUCAAGUUCCAGGGGUAACAAGAGAAUUGGCGAUAACCUGUAAUAUUUUAGAAUCUGUAAACCCUCACUGACCAACAACUACAUAAGUGGUAACCUAUUCCUGUCAUAGGGUUUUUUAUUUAUUUUGUUAACCUGUGCUAACUAGUAGGGUCAUUAUCACCCUGUUGCAAGGUAAUUCCAUUUAACCAUAUAUAAAAUAGAGUUGUAUCUAGUAUACACACGCACUUUGGGAAGCUUCUACAGUAGCAGGUUUUCAUGUGAAGAUAAUUAUAAGGAAACAGAGUCUUAUGGACAUAGAGGGAAGCUGUGCAUAUGAAUUCACAGCAGUUAUGAUAGGAAAUACAAGACCUGGGAAGAUCAAGCCAGAACAAAUCUCAGAAUAAAGAAGGGGCAUGGGCAUAAAGUACUACUGCCAGUCUGGGAGCUAUUGGCAAGUGACAGCUGCUGGGAGAAGGAAAAUCAAUAAUCCUGGUAAGUCACCCAUGCUCCAGUAGAAAUCCAUAUACCCAAGAACAUAUUGGACACAUUGGACUUGAUGGGUUUGUUAAAAAAAAAAUAACU
rnacentral:lncRNA from 1 species